ensembl:lncRNA
UCCAAAUGGCCCGUGAAUCUGGGGCUGUUAGCCGAGCUUCUAUAAAAUCCAAACCAGGAAGUGCCAUGAGCAUAGAAACUCCACAGCAUGUGCCCAUAACUGGUAGGCCUCCCGUAGAUUCUGAGCAGCCAUGUUGUUCUUCAGCAUUAGAAGUGAGACAGGAGCCAAUGGCAUUAUUCAGGGAGGAAAGGAGCUCAGGCUUUAGGAGGGUAACAAGCCACACUAACAGGUUCCUUAGUAACAGGGGUGUGCUUGGUAGCCUUGCAACAGGAAAGCCUGUUGGUGACAAAGCAGGUUUAGAGGCUAGCCCAGAGGUACCUGCUGACUGGCAGAUGCAGCUUUCAUUAGCUGAAAAGCAUAUUGCUACUCUGAUCACAGGAAAGGGUUCAGCAGAGAACCUUGAUGAGUCAAACAUGGUUAAAGGUGAUAAAGACAUUCCUGGCAGUGAGUCAGUUGAGGAUGAAGUGAGCAACAUUUUAACCACUGAAAUGAAAGACGAUCCUGCCAGUGCUGAGCAGAAACAUUCUGAAGUCAAAAAGACAGAAACAAAGCAAACAGAGACACCUGAAAGCCAACAACCUGAAGUGACAGAGAAAGUGAAAGAAGAGGAAACUUCUAGGGAAAAGAUGCAAACAGAGCAAGAGAAGUGCGAGCAGAAAGACUGUGUUACUGAAGGAACAGAGCUAAAUAGUGAUAUAACCUCAGAGGCAAAUAAAGAACCAAAUGUGAUCUUGAGGGCAAAUAAAACUGCAAUGUGGACUAAUUCAGGUUUAGAUUCAGAGCUACGUCCUGAAUUUCCACCAGAUCACCUUCCCCUUUCUGUACUUCCUUACACUAAUCGUAGAUUAUCUCUAGGGUUGGAUUGGGAGAGGGGUGGGUGGGAAGGGGAAAGUUUGGGCCAAGGUGGAUUCUGGUCCAGAGAGAGGCGGUCCCUUGAUGCUGAAAGAUGGGAUGUUGGUGGAGAGAGAUGGGGUUUAGACAAUGAUAGACAGGAAGGAGGUGGUGAAAAACGGGGUCUGGGGGGUUGGCGUGGAUGUGGGAUUGAUGGGCAAGGCACAGAUGAUUCAGACUGGAAAUUAGAUAAAAAUACCCAAGACACUGGUGAUAAAGAGGCAGAUUCAGACACAAAACAGAAAACACUUAAGCCUGAGCAAGGUCUUGGUGAAGAUCAUAGCAGUCCAGUCUCUAGCACUGAUGAAGUGGACAAAUAUAAAAAACAUGCUGUUGCUAGCCAAUGCAUUGAAAAUGGCCGGAGUCAAGGUCCAGGUGAAGGUCAG